rnacentral:rRNA from 1 species
ACCAGACUCCUACGGGAGGCAGCAGUGGGGAAUAUUGCACAAUGGGGGGAACCCUGAUGCAGCGACGCCGCGUGGGUGAAGAAGCGCCUCGGCGCGUAAAGCCCUGUCAGCAGGGAAGAAAAUGACGGUACCUGAAGAAGAAGCUCCGGCUAACUACGUGCCAGCAGCCGCGGUAAUACGUAGGGGGCAAGCGUUAUCCGGAUUUACUGGGUGUAAAGGGGGCGCAGACGGCGAUGCAAGCCAGGAGUGAAAGCCCGGGGCCCAACCCCGGGACUGCUCUUGGAACUGCGUGGCUGGAGUGCAGGAGGGGCAGGCGGAAUUCCUGGUGUAGCGGUGAAAUGCGUAGAUAUCAGGAGGAACACCGGUGGCGAAGGCGGCCUGCUGGACUGCAACUGACGUUGAGGCCCGAAAGCGUGGGGAGCAAACAGGAUUAGAUACCCCGUAAAG